GGGGAAUUUUCCGCAAUGGGCGCAAGCCUGACGGAGCAACGCCGCGUGAGGGAGGAAGGCCUGUGGGUUGUAAACCUCUUUUCUCAAGGAAGAACACAAUGACGGUACUUGAGGAAUCAGCAUCGGCUAACUCCGUGCCAGCAGCCGCGGUAAGACGGAGGAUGCAAGCGUUAUCCGGAAUUAUUGGGCGUAAAGCGUCCGUAGGUGGUUAUAAAAGUCUGUUGUUAAAGCCCACAGCUCAACUGUGGAUCGGCAAUGGAAACUGUAUGACUUGAGUGUGGUAGGGGUAGAGGGAAUUCCUAGUGUAGCGGUGAAAUGCGUAGAUAUUAGGAAGAACACCAGUGGCGAAGGCGCUCUACUGGGCCAUAACUGACACUGAUGGACGAAAGCUAGGGGAGCGAAAGGGAUUAGAUACCCCUGUAGUC
rnacentral:rRNA from 1 species